CUUCAUUGAACAUACAAACCACACCGUUUCUUAAUAAUAUUUCCAAAGAAUAAUGGAAUGUAUCGUGAUUACAAUUGUAUUUUAAAUGGAGGAGACAUUUGCUCAAACAGCUGGACUUCCUGGUACAAAAAAGGCAAAAAGCUAACGUGCAGAGUCAACUCCCCCCGCCGGUCUUCACCAAAUGGUUCAGUCCAGCGUCACCAAUGACAUGGGUCAGUUCUGCGCAUGUGCACCGAGUGGUUGCAGACGUCACCACUGAAGCUGUCAGAGCGGUCCUUUUUUUUUUCAUUUCAGGUCAACUUUAUUGACAAGCCGUAAAGUUUCAAAACAAUGCGUGUGACGCGAAUCUCAGCGUGAUUACGUGCUGUGGCACGUUAUAAAAACUGCUCCACCCACCACCGAGUCCAAGUGUGUCAGGCACAGCGUCACUGGCGACCCCUGGUGGCAGCUCAGUUGCAUCAUCAUCAUCAAUCCACUUUCUCCAGAAAAUUCCACCCCAACAACAAUGACACAGAGAAGGACACAAACACACUGCUGGAGAGGAAAGAAGUCAACAACCAGCAGGAAGAGUUUGUGAGACACAACUCACACUGUGGUUUAGUUCAGCUUCAGGAUCUCACAUGAGGAGGACGAGGACCAGACACAAACUCCAGCGUGUAGAGGCUGAGUGAAGGUGGUGUGGACUCUGUGGAGGAGGGUCAUGGUUUCAGAGACGCUGUAGAAGGACAGAAGACCUGCAGAGUGAUCCAGACAACAACAACUGUGAGUGAGCAGUGUUUGGAUCCAGAGUGAUGUCCCGUGAGAACCUGAGGAACUCAGCUCUGGUCUUGGGCUCUGGCGCGAGCAUGAGUGAGAUGUUGGUGCAGGUGUCUCUCAGAAGGUCCUGGAGUCGCUCUCUGCUGGCUGACACGGCUGCUGCCACUUCCUCAAAGCAGCAGUGAGGACGGACGUGGGUCCUGGAGG